GAUGAACGCUGGCGGCGUGCCUAAUACAUGCCAGUCGAGCGAACAGAUGAGGAGCUUGCUCCUCUGACGUUAGCGGCGGACGGGUGAGUAACACGUGGAUAACCUACCUAUAAGACUGGGAUAACUUCGGGAAACCGGAGCUAAUACCGGAUAAUAUAUUGAACCGCAUGGUUCAAUAGUGAAAGACGGUUUUGCUGUCACUUAUAGAUGGAUCCGCGCCGCAUUAGCUAGUUGGUAAGGUAACGGCUUACCAAGGCAACGAUGCGUAGCCGACCUGAGAGGGUGAUCGGCCGCACUGGAACUGAGACACGGUCCAGACUCCUACGGGAGGCAGCAGUAGGGAAUCUUCCGCAAUGGGCGAAAGCCUGACGGAGCAACGCCGCGUGAGUGAUGAAGGUCUUCGGAUCGUAAAACUCUGUUAUUAGGGAAGAACAAAUGUGUAAGUAACUAUGCACGUCUUGACGGUACCUAAUCAGAAAGCCACGGCUAACUACGUG
rnacentral:rRNA from 1 species